UUGGAGUUCCCUGGACUGUGUGGUCCCAGC
rnacentral:piRNA from 1 species